CGAGUUGUUUACCUGGUAACUAACUUACCGCUCUCCGUCAAAGUCGUGUAAACUCACCGAGUUGUUUACCUGGUAACUAACUUACCGCUCUCCGUCAAAGUCGUGUAAACUCACCGAGUUGUUUACCUGGUAACUAACUUACCGCUCUCCGUCAAACGUAAGCUGGUGUAGGUGAUGGUGCUGGACAGGACUUCAUGGCUCACAGCUCAUUCCACUCCAGGUAACCCCUGGAGUGAGAUACUUUUUUAGACCUCAGUAGCCAUCUGGAAGGAACGCGUCCAACGUUACCUUGAGAAGGAGAUGUUCAGUUCCGGACGGAGAAAACUUCAGAGACACUGUGGUGCCAUCUGGUCACUUUCAAGAGGCAGUUGUUGAAGAUUUCAGCUCUGGGCUAUGAUGGAGAUGGUCACAUGUUAUAGGCUGUAGCACAAAUGUGCUUUUGAACACUCAAAAACAUGUCCACAGUGAAAAUCUAUCUUGUCUUAUUGUCAACUUUAUAGUAAGGUAACACUUUACAAAGGGUUUGUAAAAGCUAUAUACAUUAAGGGUUAUUUAAUUAUUUGUACAGCAAAUCCUUUAUUAUCCAAGCUGGUUUACAUUGUUUUGUUGUGUCAUUGUUUUCAUCACAAAAAAAACGACUUAUCUUUACUUGCUACAUAAUGGGCAAUAUUAGCGAGUACUAUGCUUGGCAAUAUGUUCCAAGCACAACACUGACAUGUUAUGAUCACAGUCAGGACCUUUAUGGUUCAGGUCUAAAUGUAACCAAAUGUUAUGCAAAUGAAAAGCAAGUCACAUUUUAUUUCUCAGAGCGUAACUUUCUGUGUAAACUGUCCAUGUUAAGAACCAGGACAUGGGUGGUGAGUGACGCGACGUGACCAAGGGUCUCUGCCGGCACAAUGGCGGUUAUAUAUGAUAUUCUUUCACCUUAUACAAUAUUGCUGCUCAAACCAAAACUGAUCAUGACGAGGACACUGUAGUGCGUAUGUGUUACUGUUCACGUCAAACUCUGAAACAGGUGACCUUAACGGAUUUGAAGUGUUUGCAUUCUGCUUUAGCCGAGAGUGUGAUCUCUCAGGUGCUCUUGGAAGUUUGCCCUUGAAAGAACCGAAGAAUGUAGAAUAGAAGCACACAUUUCUAUAAGGCAGCCAUUCAUUUCUCUAAGAUCCUAUCAUACAGCGGGGUUGAACUUCUGUUCAGUUGCCUUACUUCACUGCUGAUAGGACAUUGAAGGAUUUAGAAUUUCCACUAUAACAAAAUUCACUGGAAAAAUAAACCCUACGAGCAAUGGGGAUGACGUGUCUCAUCUAUUGUACAAGACCGUGGAACACAAACAGGACGUCAGCAUGUCUUUUAGAGUACAUGCAUUUCGUGGGUUGGUGCACACUUUAUCCAACACGGACAAUGCAAAAAACAUGUCAGCCCAGCUAGUUGAGAGACAAUGGACUGGCUCAUGUGAAUUGGAGGCAAAAUUAUAUAUUCUCAGUAAAUAAAUAUUUUAACGGUUCCACAUUUGGAAAUUCAAGUGCCAUUUUGUAUAUACCAUAUGCAGCUUUUUCAUGCAUUGUAUACCUACAUUGUACUCUGGAAAUGAAUAGCUUACAGAUCUUUCCUUUGCAAAGACUGAUUAUACCUUUAUACAUUCCCAAUUAAAUCAUACUACGCCAUUUACACUGGGCUACGCUCAAAAGUAGUUUAUGUUACAGUUA
ensembl:lncRNA